AAGGGUAGCAAUACCUGAGUAAAGCGGCGAACGGGUGAGUAACACGUGGUUAACCUGCCGGAAUGUGGGGGAUACCCCGGGGAAACUCGGGACAAUACCGCAUAUGGUCUCCUGGGCUCUGGCCCGGGAGAGCAAAGCUGGGGAUCGUAAGACCUGGCGCAUUCCGAGGGGACCGCGGCCGAUUAGCUAGUUGGCGGGGUAAUGGCCCACCAAGGCAACGAUCGGUAGCCGGCCUGAGAGGGUGAUCGGCCACACCGGAACUGAGACACGGUCCGGACUCCUACGGGAGGCAGCAGUGGGGAAUUUUGCGCAAUGGGCGAAAGCCUGACGCAGCAACGCCGCGUGGAGGAUGAAGGUUCUCUGAA
rnacentral:rRNA from 1 species